rnacentral:rRNA from 1 species
AACGAACGCUGGCGGCGUGCCUAACACAUGCAAGUCGAGCGCGAAUGGAGCAAUCCUAGUAGAGCGGCGCACGGGUGCGUAACACGUGGGUAAUCUGCCCUGAAGCCCGGGAUAACCUGCCGAAAGGCAAGCUAAUACCGGAUAAGCCUACGGUCCCCUCGGGGACUGACGGAAAAGGUGGCCUCUGCAUGCAAGCUAUCACUUCAGGAUGAGCCCGCGGCCCAUCAGCUCAUUGGCGGGGUAACGGCCCACCAAGGCGACGACGGGUAGCUGGUCUGAGAGGACGAUCAGCCACACUGGAACUGAGACACGGUCCAGACUCCUACGGGAGGCAGCAGUGAGGAAUUUUGCGCAAUGGGCGAAAGCCUGACGCAGCAACGCCGCGUGUGUGAUGAAGGUCUUCGGAUUGUAAAGCACUUUCGACCGGGACGAAAACCUGCUGGCCAAUAUCCAGCAGCUUGACGGUACCGGGAGAAGAAGCACCGGCUAACUCUGUGCCAGCCGCCGCAGUAACAC